rnacentral:pre_miRNA from 1 species
AGAGAGAGAGUGUAUGGAUAUGAUUUAUAAUAAGAUGUGUAUGUGUAUACACAUCUUAUUAUAAAUCAUAUUCAUACUCUCUCUCUCU